UACGUAGGGUGCGAGCGUUGUCCGGAAUUAUUGGGCGUAAAGAGCUCGUAGGCGGUUUGUCGCGUCUGCUGUGAAAAUCCAGGGCUUAACCCUGGACCUGCAGUGGGUACGGGCAGACUGGAGUGCGGUAGGGGAGAUCGGAAUUCCUGGUGUAGCGGUGAAAUGCGCAGAUAUCAGGAGGAACACCGAUGGCGAAGGCAGGUCUCUGGGCCACUACUGACGCUGAGAAGCGAAAGCAUGGGGAGCGAACAGG
rnacentral:rRNA from 1 species